rnacentral:rRNA from 1 species
AGAGUUUGAUCAUGGCUCAGAACGAACGCUGGCGGCGUGGAUUAGACAUGCAAGUCGAACGAGUUUCGUUUGGUAGCAAUACUGAGCGAAGCUAGUGGCGGACGGGUGCGUAACACAUGAGUCAUCUGCCCAGAAGUGGGGAAUAGCUCGGCGAAAGCCGGAUUAAUACCGCAUGUGGUCGUAAGACCAAAGCCGGGGCAACCUGGCGCUUUUGGAGGAGCUCGUGGCCUAUCAGCUAGUUGGUGAGGUAACGGCUUACCAAGGCAACGACGGGUAGCUGGUCUGAGAGGACGACCAGCCACACUGGAACUGAGAUACGGUCCAGACACCUACGGGUGGCAGCAGUCGAGAAUUUUUCUCAAUGGGGGAAACCCUGAAGGAGCGACGCCGCGUGGAGGAUGAAUGCUUUCGGGUUGUAAACUCCUGUCAUUUGGGAACAAGGCCUUACGUUAACUACGUGGAGGAUUGAUAGUACCAGAAGAGGAAGAGACGGCUAACUCUGUGCCAGCAGCCGCGGUAAUACAGAGGUCUCGAGCGUUGUUCGGAUUCAUUGGGCGUAAAGGGCGCGUAGGCGGCGGGGUAAGUCUGGUGUGAAAUCUAGGAGCUCAACUCCUAAACUGCACUGGAUACUGCUCUGCUAGAGGACUGGAGAGGAGACUGGAAUUCACGGUGUAGCAGUGAAAUGCGUAGAUAUCGUGAGGAAGACCAGUGGCGAAGGCGGGUCUCUGGACAGUUCCUGACGCUGAGGCGCGAAGGCCAGGGGAGCAAACGGGAUUAGAUACCCCGGUAGUCCUGGCAGUAAACGGUGCACGUUUGGUGUGCGCGGAUUCGACCCCGUGCGUGCCGGAGCUAACGCGUUAAACGUGCCGCCUGAGAAGUACGGUCGCAAGAUUAAAACUCAAAGAAAUUGACGGGGGCCCGCACAAGCGGUGGAGUAUGUGGCUUAAUUCGAUG